AGCGAACGCUGGCGGCAGGCCUAACACAUGCAAGUCGAACGAACUCUUCGGAGUUAGUGGCGGACGGGUGAGUAACACGUGGGAACGUGCCUUUUGGUUCGGAAUAACUCAGGGAAACUUGUGCUAAUGCCGAAUGUGCCCUUCGGGGGAAAGAUUUAUCGCCAUUAGAGCGGCCCGCGUCUGAUUAGCUAGUUGGUGAGGUAACGGCUCACCAAGGCGACGAUCAGUAGCUGGUCUGAGAGGAUGACCAGCCACACUGGGACUGAGACACUGCCCAGACUCCUACGGGAGGCAGCAGUGGGGAAUCUUGCGCAAUGGGCGAAAGCCUGACGCAGCCAUGCCGCGUGAAUGAUGAAGGUCUUAGGAUUGUAAAAUUCUUUCACCGGGGACGAUAAUGACGGUACCCGGAGAAGAAGCCCCGGCUAACUUCGUG
rnacentral:rRNA from 1 species